rnacentral:rRNA from 1 species
ACCGGCAGCUCAAGUGGUGGCCAUUAUUAUUGGGCCUAAAGCGUUCGUAGCCGGUUUGAUAAGUCUCUGGUGAAAUCCCGCAGCUUAACUGUGGGACUUGCUGGAGAUACUAUCAGACUUGAGGUCGGGAGAGGUUAGGGGUACUCCCAGGGUAGGGGUGAAAUCGUAGAGGCCUGGGGGGAGGACGUGUGGCGAAGGCGCCUAGCUGGGACGAACCUGAGGGGGAGUGACGAAAGGCAGGGGGGCGAACCG